CUAGUAAUCGCGGAUCAGCAUGCCGCGGUGAAUACGUUCCCAGGCCUUGUACACACCGCCCGUCACACCAUGGGAGUUGGGUUCACCCGAAGGCGUUGCGCUAACUCGCAAGAGAGGCAGGCGACCACGGUGGGCUUAGCGACUGGGGUGAAGUCGUAACAAGGUAGCCGUAGGGGAACCUGCGGCUGGAUCACCUCCUUUCUAAGG
rnacentral:rRNA from 1 species